UUGCAGAGCCGAUUGCCAAUAAAAUGGGUUGGUAAGCCAGGGAAGUGGGGAACUUGAGCUGGAAAGCGAUGUAGAGAACAUCUCCAUGAACAACAACUACAGGGCUUGCAGUGGUGAAUCGCAAAUCGCCUUUGUUAGGAAGCUUGCAGGUAAGGCCUGAGAUAGCCAUUAAUGGAAGCAUACCUUUUUUAUCAAACAAGUGGAAGGUGGAGAAGGAAAAAGGGCAUUGGAUCACGCUUGACCAUUGUACUCAUCGACCCAAGGAUAUUAGCCCUGCCAUGUUGGUCUGUGGAUCUAAACUUAUUACUUCCCCCCCUAUUUUUGUUUAAACAUUUUUUAAGAACCAUUUUUGUAUAUAUAUAAAUGUUUUGAUUAUUACCUUCCUGGUUACAUUUUUAUUUAAAAA